rnacentral:misc_RNA from 1 species
GAUGAAGAACGCAGCAAAAUGCGAUAAGUAAUGUGAAUUGCAGAAUUCAGUGAAUCAUCGAAUCUUUGAACGCACAUUGCGCCCGCCAGUAUUCUGGCGGGCAUGCCUGUUCGAGCGUCAUUUCAACCCUCAAGCACAGCUUGGUGUUGGGACUCGCGUUAAUUCGCGUUCCCCAAAUUGAUUGGCGGUCACGUCGAGCUUCCAUAGCGUAGUAGUAAAACCCUCGUUACUGGUAAUCGUCGCGGCCACGCCGUUAAACCCCAACUUCUGAAUGUUGACCUCGGAUCAGGUAGUAAUACCCGCUGAACUUAAGCAUAUCAAUAAGCGGAGGA